AUAAAAGCUGAGAAAGACAUUAGUAGAUUAAUUAACUGAAAUUAGAGAGCUGAUGGCUGCUGCAAAUCAGUCAGUUAAUUUUUCGAAUCCAGUCUGGAGCUGUGAAGCUGAAAAUAUAAUGAUUAAGCUGAACCGGUUGGGCCCGUUAAAACUAUUUAAGCGGCAGUUUUUCUGUCAUUAGGGUGGCACCACGAGCAAUCUCGUCCCUUUU
rnacentral:ncRNA from 1 species